rnacentral:misc_RNA from 1 species
AAGUCAUAACAAGGUUUCUAUAGGUAAACCUAUAGAAGGAUUAUUACAGAGUUCAUGCCCGCGAGGGUAGACCUCCUACCCGUGUAUACUAUUACCCCUAUUGCUUUAGCAGGCCGCUGCAAAGGCCCUGGCUCCGGCUAGGUCGCGCCUGUCAGAGGACCCCUAAACUCCGAGUAUCAGUGUCGUCUGAGGUGGCUAUAUAUAAUAGUAAAA